AUUUACAAAAUAGUGUAUCUUACCAUACAUUAUUUAGAUCGUCCAUUUUUAAUAUUUUAGUAUAUUUAUAGAUUCCGCAUUUCAUGUGGAAGGAUUUAGGAAAAUCUUAUUCCUCUGUCUAAUCUAUGGUAAACUUUCAAAACCAUAGUUUUCUAUUGAAAAUGACCCUCCAUUUUGAUUCCAUCUUCCCUUUUCUUCUCCCUUUUUUCUGCAAUAAGUUGUUAGGUUUUUUCCCACUUCUCAUUCCUUAAUUCUUCCCUAUUACUUGUUAGUUUUCAAUUCGUCCUCUGUAUUUUCCAUUUCUUAACUGGAAAUUCAGUGGUUUUUCUCCAAUUUUGAGAUACUUUUCUUUUGAUUUCUCAGAUCAAAGAGAGGCAGGAGGCCCUAGAAAUUAGUGUUUCGAAGCUCGAAGCCAUGGCUGGCCAGAACUCCGAAUUUUCAAUGGUAUCAUUUGUCUCUCAUUAUUUUUUUAUGGAUUAAAGAUUAUUGCUCAUAAUUUAUUGAGAUUUUUCAGAAAAAAAUAUUUUCCAUUGCAAAUUUAGAGGUUAUAUAUCAUAAAUAAGGAUAAGCGAUAAUUGCUUUUUAUUGCAUGUUUACUUGUGAAUUUCUGAAUGUAAAUUAUGAACAAUUGACUUCAUUUUUGUUUACAAUAGAUGAAAUUUUUCUUGAACAGCCAAUGUUCAAUUUAUGGGCUUGCACUCUGGACUCCGCCCCCACCUGAGCGGAGUAACUCAACCGAGUCUGAGCCCCACCAGGGCUAAAAAAUUGGAAAAAAUACAAAUAGUUGUUAAAAAUAAUUUAAAUUAGUAAAUGUUUUUAUAAACAACGUUAGAAGUCUGCAAAAAUAGUAUACAGGAGAUGAAUUAUGGAAAAAACUGAUUUAUAGCUUGAAACAAUUCAAAAAAAUCCCAAAAGGAAAAAAUAGAAAAAAAAAUCAUCGGCCCCAAUCAGAGCCCAAAAAGGGCUAAAAAAUUGGAAACAAAUACAAAAAGGUUGUUAAAAAUAAUUUAAAAUAGUUAAAAAAAUAUAUAUAAACAACAUUAGAAGUAUACAAAACAAGUAACAGGAGAUGAAUUACGGAAAAAACUGAUUUAUAGCUUGAAGCAAUUCAGAAAAAUCCAAAAAAAGAAAAACAAAUCAAUAAUAAGAAAAAAAAAAUCAUUAAUAAGAAAAAUUUACAAAUAAGGCAUAAAAAACAUAAGAAUUGUGUAAGAAACACAUCAGUGCAUCAUUUAUUGGUGAUUUAGUAACCAUAUUUUUAAAUUUUUUAAGAGACUUUAACAAAACCAAAUUUGUUAAUAGAACUCCCUUGGGCUCCCUUGGGCAGGUAUACCCCACCCCCCCCCCCCCCGGUACAGUUUAUACUGAGCCUUAACACUAGUCUUUUUCUCACUGAGUCAUGUUCCAAUGGCUUGUCCAGAAAAUAAAUGCUAAUAAUACUAUCUAAGCUGUCCAAUCAAAUGCUAAAAAACAAAUAAACAAAAUUUAUCAUUUUCUUCCAAAAUUUAUAGCAUUUCAUGUUGAUAAAACUACAGAAAAACAAUUUGCCCCUUCUUUGGCUGCAAAUGAAAGUAGAUGUGUAUUUUACUUGAAAAAUGCUGAUGUCCAUACAUGCGAUUUUUCGGAUAUUGUAUUUUAAGUUUAAGGUUGUUUGGCUGCUAGAGAGAGGAAAGUGUUGUUAAGGAGAUGGGAAAAAUAUGGGCAGGAGAAGGGAAAACCAAAUUGGAAAAUGUUGAGAGAGAGUGGUCUGGAUAAUUUGUGUAGAGUGAGAAGAAACCCGAAAGUGGCAGAGAGGUGAGGGGAAAUAAGAGUUUGUAGUCUACUGAAAGAGUGAGUUUAAUUGGCCUGGGUCAGGCCUGCCGGGCCAAAGGCCUGACUCGACCUUACACGGGUUGGGUUUGGAUCUCUUCACGGGGCCAACCGUUCCAAACUCAGCCUGAAUGUAAGGCCCAUUAGAUCAGUGAACUGGGUAGGCCGGAGGGCUUCGAAGGUCCAGAGCAGCAUCAGUUGGGUUCUAGACCCCUUGAUAGGACCUGUCUGGCCGGGCUUAUUUUAAGGUCUGUAAGCCUUGCAGGCUGGGAAAGGUCUGCUAAAGCUUGGCCUUCCACCCUUAUUUGGGGGUUUAGUUUCAACUUGCAAGGCCAAGGCUUUGGGGAUUUAGUUGCAGAGGAUUAGGAUUGGGUUUUCGGGGUUAUAGUUGUGGAGGAUAGGGAUUAGGAUUAGGUUUUUGUGAUUUGGGUUUAUACCAUAAUUUCUACAGGUAUCAGUUUUCUUGAGCUUUCUGUCUUCUCAAUGAAUAUGAAUAUGAAUAUGUAGGUGUUUCUCUCUCUUAUGUGAGAGAGGCGCUCUGGCCUAGAUGGGGUGGGUUUGGUAAAAAUUGGUGUCUCCUAGAGAUGAUCUUCCCAUGCAAGCCAAGUGAUGGUUGGUCUUUUAGAGAAAUAAGCUUUGCACCAGUGUUUUAAAACCGGAUGACGGUUUUUUACUCGGAUUGCCAAUCCGGAUUGAGUCUGGGAUGGUAUGGGUCCCAGCCUAUUCCCUUAACUGUGUCCCGCCUAGCCACAGAUUUAUUUUUGUUUAGAUUUUAAUUAUUUUUAAUAUUUUUUAUCACCAAUUCAAGUUGAUCUACGAUCCAAUAAUCCGACAUUGAUCCGUCCUAUUAAUUUGAGUUUUCAAACAUUGAUUUGCAGCCAGUAGUGGGGCAUAUUUACUCUAGUAGAGAGGUUCUGAUAUCCUGUUAUAAAGAGGGAAUGCGUGGACCACGAGUGUUUACAAAUAUAGGGAUGACGUUUCUCUCAGGAUUUAGAGAAAACAAAAUAAAAGGCUCACCUCAAAUCCUCUGAAAAGCACUUUAAUAGCAUAAAUAUUCAUGAUAGCUUUAAAAUCAAUUUCCAAUGCCAAUGUUGCAGAUUUGUGAAUAUUUAUUUUUAGGGUGAAAUGGAUGGUCUAGAUAAUUUAUUAUCUUAUAAAUAAUGUUUUUUGGUGCUUGGAAUCGUAAUUCUUUUCACAACUCAAGCCGAGAUCUUCUAGUAAAAGUUUUCUAAUGCUUGAAUUACAAUUUUCAAUGAGCUAUAAGUUGAAGAAAUUUCAAUGAGCUAUAAGUUGAGGCUUUAUUUAUUUAGAUAUGGCUACAGCCCUAUCAAACCAUUUUCCCUCAGCUUUAUUUAUUUAGAUAUUAUCAAACCAUUUUCCCUCCGCUUUAUUUAUUUAGAUAUGGCUGUGAUAUUAUCAAACUAUUUUACCUCGGCUUUAUUUAUUCACAUAUGGCUACAGCCCUAUAAAACCAGUUUCCAUCAUAUCAUUUCCCCUCGUGCGGUAGGACCUAAAACCAUGUUUCCUCGUGCGGUAGGACCUCAAACCAUUUUCCCUAAUGCGGUAGGACCUCAAACCAUUUUCCCUAGUGCCGUAGGACCUCUUUUUGUCAUCUAUGAUUCAACUCUCUCUAUUUGUAAAUGAUACUUUUGCAUGUGACUUCCUAUAUGUUCAAAGUUAAACUAUUUUAUUUUGAAAAUGUACAAAUAAAUUAGUAAAAUGCCCCUCCAUCAUCCUUAGCAUUGAAUAAAACCAAAAAAAAUAUAUAUAUAAAAAAGAAAGGAAAGUACAAAGGGAUUGUGUACAAAGAGAUCAUUUAUCUUUUGUACAUAAAAGUCAUAAUCAUUAUUCUCAUUCAUUAGAUGUCAAAUUGGAUGGUUUAGGUAAGUCACGAACUCGAAAUUUUUUUUUUUUAAACUUUGUGUCUUUUUAAUAAGAUUCUUACAACUAUUUAUUUUGAAAUUUAAGAGAUAAAAAUGAUUGUGACCUCCAUAUAUAAAAUAUAAAUAAUCUUUCAUUAGAUAAUAUAAAAAAAAAAUAAGAAAAAAAGAAAAGAAAAAUGGACAUCUUGAAACUCUUAUUCCAUCACUAAAUAUAGUCCAAUCUAAGAAUCACGGUAGAAGUUGGGUUUUCACCGUUUGACAUCUCAAGUUCCAUUCUCAUAUGACAUUGUCAAAAAAAAAAAAAAAAAACACAAUAAAAGGAAAAAAAAGUUUGGUCCAAUCUUUCUUUAUAAAGACAAGGAGGUCCUUUGGGGCUUUACCCCUCCCAAUAAAAAGGAUGAUCACUUUUUCUUAGCUUGGCUCCUAGGAAGAAUGCUUGAUGACCCAGGCCCUCUCCUAUUGGAUAGGAUCUCAUUGAGAUGUGGCACUCUCCCAUUGGAGAGAGAGGAUCUCAUUGAGACGUGGCACUCUCCCAUUGGGAGAUAGGAGCUGACAUGGCUUUAGGAUGGUUAAAGGAAAUAGGAGAGCUGUUGCUGCUUCGUCCUUGAGCCUCCUUCCCCAAACAUAUCAUUCCAUUGCUGCAACUCGCUCAUGAUUUUCCCCUCCGAGGCAAGCUAGGGGCAAUCUGUACUUGUCAGAAUACAAUUUCAUUUAGUGUGCGAGAGGGACAAUUUCAUUUAGUGAGAGAGAUAGAUAGAGAGGAGAGAGAUGGAGAAUUUAUGUAAUAAUUAGGGAUAGGGAAUGAUCUCAUGUCAACGUCCCGUUGUAAUUGGAUGAGACCACAUUUUUAGAAAGCAAUAGGGACUUUAAAUUUUGCACACACUCUUAAAAAUCAAUCUCAAAAAAUAAAAUUCAAUUUGUACCAUCAAAAUAAAAUUCGAUUUGCACUAUAGAUAUAGAUAUGAUCAAAAUGAGUUCCCUCCUACAAUAAAUUUAGAUCAUCCAUUCAGUGAAUUUUAAGAUAUAGACUUUUUAUGAAUUCAAAAUUAAUUUUUAUUUUUAUUUUUCAACCAAUGUUUUAAAAAACCCCGCCUAGACACCUAGACCGAGGCGGCCCGGGCAGACGGGCGGAUAUACCUAGGGCGGAUGUACCUAGGCGCCCCCUUGGGCGCUGUGUUUUUCAUUUUUUUAAAACUACAGGGCACAUGCAAAAGGUUGUUAAUCUAAUGAUAAUAAAGAUAUGUAAAAGAUUUAGAAGGAAAAAAAAGAUCAUUUUAAGGUCUAGAUUUAAGCAUAUCAAUAAAAUAGAUGGUUUAUAUUAAUUUGAUUAAAAAAUGCUUUAUGACUUGUAUUUUCAAGUUUUGCUUUUUUAAGAUUGUUCGUUAGAAUGAAAGAAUGUAUUUUCAAAAUUUGGGAUUAAACAAAUGGUCAUAAUAGGUUUUUGAAGAUUGUUUCAUUGUAUUACGGUAGAACCAUUUACAUUGAAUCAGUCCCCAUUAAGUAUUGCAUUAUUUGCUAUUGGGCCUGACAAUGGGUCUGGGUAGCCUGAGUCUCGCGUGUGUCCCUUUAGGGGUGGGACAAUUUGGACUGGCCAAAGGGGCUUAAUAGAUUCAAGAAAAAAAGAAAAGAAAAGAAAAGAAAAGAAAAAUCAAGUAAAAACAGGUUUGGGUUGGGCCUGCUUUGUUGUAGCCCUUGACGAGCUUCCACUAUACUGGCCCUCGGACCAUGGUUGCUUGACCUUAAUUCUCCUAUGCUGGGCGGACCAGGCCUCCUGGCCAUCCCUAGCUAUAAAACCAUUUACUUUUGAUAUAUGAAGGUCUCAAUUCCCCUUAUGAAGCUUGAGAAAGUUUCUUUCUGAUUUCAAUCAAGGUCAUUAGCAACAUGUGAACCAUCCAUUUCUGGUGUAAUGGGGCUACACGUGAUUGCGCCUUUUUUGGUUCAAACGAUAAAUUCUAUACCAUCCUUAAAAAUUACAAAAAUUAAUGAAAAUGCACUUAAGAGAUGAAUUACUUUAACAUUUUAUCCCUUUUUUGUUUAAUUUCAAAAAGCCCUCCUAAGUUAAACAUUGAUCAUGUGUUGUGUUGAAAGCUGUGCUUUUAAAAAUGGAUCAGUGGGCGGAUCAUCCACCCACCAGUCCUAUUUAAGAUCGGUUAUCUAGAACCAAUAAAUAUAUAUAUAUAUAUAUAUAUAGAAAAUACAUCAUGGCUACUUUGGCGAGAUCUUGCCUUUAAGGGGGUUGGAAUCCCCCUCUUUUUUUUCCUUUCUUUUGGACAUUCAAAACUGCUCUUAAGAACAAAGCUCGUCCAAAAAAACGAGGGCCUAGGGGAUCCAAACCUUGAUGUUUAAUAGAAAAGAUUGGGGUUCGAAGCUAUUUGAGGUUAGUUGUCUUAUACUUCCUCCUGUUUAUACAAACUAAUUGUAUUAUCGCUUCAACACGGUCACUGAUUCUUGAUCCGGAUUGGUGAAUUUUUAAAUUACUUGAAAAUAGAUAAUAGGUAUUUUUUUUUGACGCAUUUCUUUAAAUAUAAGUUCCUUGAAUUUAUAUAAUUUAACUUAUUCUAGAGAUUUUUGAGUUAGGGAGAGGCACGUAUCCACAGAUGGAAAACUUCAAAAAAGGCCCCCAACUAGCGACCUGAGGGAAAUAUAUCAUACAUAUAUUAUAUUGAAACUGCAAAUAAAAUUUCCUGGUUCCUUGGAGUAGAUUGCAAAUAAAAUUACCUGGUUCUUGGCUUGGAGUAGAUCUUCCAUGGUUAGUGGCCUGAGGGGAAUCACUUCUUUUUGCUCCUUUGCCAUUUUGGUACCACUAGAGAUCGACGGCCUGGAUUGCUCCUCAUUCGACUUAGAUUUAAUGUCACCUUUUUCCUGAGGUAUUUGUUUCUUCUCAUGAGUACAAAUUCUGAUGUGCGUUACAUGACCACAUAGUUAUCAGGGUCAGAAAAAGUAGCAAAUUUUUGUGUUUGAAAAUCCCAACUUAUUUUUUAUUUUGGAGAUCAUUGGUCAUGGUAAAGAAAGAACCUUGCAAAAUUAAGAGCAUUUUUUAUAAUUAUGUUAUCGGAAAUUUAUCCAAAUACACUUAAGAGGCGACCUGCUUAACAUUUCACCCUAAAUGUAAUUUGAUAAAUUUCAAAACCUAACGUGUCAUUCGAUGGUCUAUUUGAAUUUUAUCAAUAUGCUAUCUGGAAAUAAACAGAAGGUUCAAAUCUUACAUGUAGUUCGAGAAAUUUUUUUUAUUUUAUCAUUAAUAGACCAAAAGAGCGAAAACUAAAUACCGUUUCUUUUUCUUUUUCCUUCUUCAAUAGCUCUCGCACUGACCGAUAAACUGCGGUAGUGCACAAAUUCUGCCCAAAACAAGUUACCAACCAUUCUUUGUUAAUACUGAUAAAGAACACAAUUAGGACACAAGAUUAAAUCUCUCUCUCUCUCUCUCUUAUUUUGAGAUUGAUAUAAAACAUAAGUAAAAAGGAUUGAAGGUGAAAUCUCUCUCCUCCUCCCUCUCUCGAACCUUGAGAUCACUGCCCGUGUAUCCUUCAGUAAUGGAGGCAAGCUCUUUGAAGCUAAGCUCUUCGGUCUUCUCUUUAGCGAGAAGGGGCGGUUUGUUGCCCCCAAAACGAGUAUCGUCUCAUUAGAUUUUGUGCCCAAUCCAUCCCAAUUGGCCGUGAACUCAUUCUUAACGCAACGUGUGGCCUCGCUCUCACUGUCGUUACUAGACCUCCGACCCAACAUGCUAUCAACCUCAUCAAUGAAUAUAAUGGCCGGUGCCAAUUUUGCAGCCAGUCUGAAUAGCGCUCUUGUGAUCUUCUCAGCCUCUCCAUACCACUUAUUGGAUAUGGUCGACGUGGAAAUGUUAAUGAAGGUAGCUUCAGCUUCUAUAGCAAUGGCUUUAGCCAACAUGGUUUUCCCGGUACCCGGAGGACCGAAGAGAAGGAUUCCCCUACAAGGUCUUAAGAGACCACGUCCCCUAAAGAUAUCAGGCCUCUUAAGUGGGAGUAUUACAAGCUCUUCGAGGAUCCUCUUUGUAUCUUCUAGUGCUCCAAUGUCUGAGAAGGUGACAUCAAUGUCCUGUGCAGCAAUAACCUCUUGCAUCAGUAGCUUCUCGAACUUGUUGUCUUGAAGAACUUCCUGUAAUCCACAAAAAUGAAAAAAGUAAAAGAAAUGAUAAUAAAAAUAUGAACACUUAUAGGUACUUAAUAAGAUUGGUGUGAUUAAGUUUCAUGCAAGAUGGUAUUCAAAAUCUUUACUGAGUUAUUUGGGAAUUAGGGUUAAAAUACUAAUGCUGAGGUCCAGUUUCCUAUUUUAAGAAUGCUUUCACGCAUUACAUAAAUCAAACCAGGCAUACAUAGAAACACCAUCAGACUCUAUCUUAACAAGGGCUACAAGGGUUGAGAUCACCCCCUUUGUUUUGGUUUCUGGUGCCCCAGCUUCGGCUUUUGGCUCGGGUUUUUCCAGUCUUCCAGUGGAAGCAUGAAUCCCAUUUUAUUUCUCCCCUCCAAAACUAAGCAUUACAAUUCACAAUACAUCCAUAAUAAAACAAAAUCAUAGUUAUAACUAUAUGAACCAUUCCUAUAAGAAAGAGAAAUUGAAGAAAGAGUAUCACAGAUUUUAGUUCUACAUUAGAUCUAAGUGUUUGGUUCAAAUUUGUAUAAUAUCAAUGAAGCUCUGACAAAAAUUUAUAUAUUACAAUUGAGCAUACCUUAGCCUUAAAAAAAAAAAUUAGAGUAAAAAAAAAAGAGUAAUUAAAUGAUGAUGAGAUAUAAGAAUUUAUAGGUAUAAGAAUUUAUAGGUACUCCGGAAGAUUGGGGAAAGUUUCACAGAAGAUGGUCUUCAAUAUCUAGGGUUAAAAUUCUAAUGCCGAAGUUCGCGUUCCCAUUGUUAGAGUGCUUUCACCCCAUUAUAUAAAGGAAAAUGUUUAUAUAGAGCCGAGGUUCUAAACAAUCAAAUUGGAGCCCACCUCGAAAAUUUCAUUAGAAGAGACUGUUUUGAUGCCCAAAUAUUUUUAAAUUGAUCAUCUUGAUAUCAAGAUGCAUGGAAAUGAGAAAAAAAAUAGAUUUCAAGUUUUGGAAAUAGUGCAUCUUGUAACACAUUUUUGGAUCAUCAAUUUCAAGGUUUUACAAAUCUGCUCGAUCUACAUUGUGUUUGAAGCUUUAAAUUUUAUAAUUAAAAAUAAAAAUAUAUUUUAAAGCUAUCACAAAGAUUUCCAGUAUUAAAACCACAUUUCUCGACACUAUUUUAAGGUAUGCUUUACGUUGAUUGUUAAAAGUCUCGGAUCUUUACAAACUGCACCCUUAUAUAAAUUAGAGAAUGCAUAAAUAGAAGGCUACUGGGGGCCGGGAUCCACCCCUUUGAUUUGUUUUCCGGUGUCCUAGCUUUGGCUUUGACUUGGGUUUUUCUGGUCUUCUAGUGGAAGCAUGAACUCCAUUUUGUUUAACUUGAAGCAAGGAUUUCAGGAUAUAUUCAUAAUAAAAUAAAAUCAUAGUUAGAAAUAUGUGAACCAUUCCUAUAAGAAAGAGGAUAUAUUCAUAAUAAAAUAAAAUCAUAGUUAGAAAUAUGUGAACCAUUCCUAUAAGAAAGAGAAUUGAACAAAGAGUGUCAAAGAUUUUAGAUCUACACUAGAACUAGCUGUUUGGCUAAAUUUUGUUUAAUAUCAAUGGAACUAUUAUACAUAUGCUUUGAGCAUACCUUAGUCCACAAAAGUGAAGAAAAAAUAAGGAAAUGAUAAUGAGACAUGUGCACUUAUGGGUCCUAAAAAAGCUUGGGGGGUCAUUUCGAAGUUUCUGACAAGAUGGUAUUCAACAAUUUGCUGAAUUAUUUGGGAGUUAAGGUUAAAAUACUAAUUGCUAAGGUCCGGAUUCCCAUUAUAAGGAUGCUUUCACCCAUUACAUAAACUUAACAAGACAUAAAUAGAAACAUCACUGAUCUCUAUCUUAACAGGGGCUGGGAUCUUUUUUUGUUUUUUUGUUUCGUAUAGUUAAGUGGGGAUUGAGUCCCCUUACUCAUAGUAGAAAUGAAACUUAAGACAACAUGUUGUGACCAUCUAGCCUUGAGCCCAUUCCUACUAAGUUAGGAUUUGGUGCCAUAGCGUUGGGAUUUGGUGCUAGCCUUGAGCCCAUUCCUACUAAGUUGGGAUUUGGCGCCAUAGCUUUGGCUUUUUGCUUGGGACUAAUUUUGUUUCUCUUGAAUAAUCAAGACAAAACAUAAUAUAUUCAUAAUAAAAAAAUAACAUAAUAUAUUCAUAAUAAAAAAAUUAUAAUUAGAAGUAAGUGAAACUCUGUCUUAACCAUCCUCAUACUGGUCAUGCCAAUCCCUAUAAGGGACACGUUGUACACGCCUGGGGUGUGAUGAGAAAUAUGCAAGGUUAGGCGUUCCUUGGAAGCAACACACCACAACAACAACAUAUUAGGUGAUAAGUAGGCAAAACAUGUUGCGUGAUAAGUAGGCAAGGGUUCUUGCUUCAUUCUAGACGAGCACAAAAAGAAGCUAUUUCGAAAAAAUAGGAUUUGUCUAGACAAAUGAAACUUGGGAGUGCUAAUAAGUAAGAGUAUGAAGUUAGCAGAUACAAUGAGAUGAAGGAAAGUUAACAUAGCUUGCUUAUAGGAAACCAAGUGGAAACUUGCUUGCUUAUAAAAAACUAAGUGAAAAGGGGAAAAAACAACAAAAAUCGAUGGAUAUAAACUUAGGUAUUUAUAAAAACUAAGUGAAAAGGGGAAAAAACAACAGAAAUUGAUGGAUAUAAACUUAGGUAUUUAUAAAAACUAAGUGAAAAGGGAAAAAAUAGGUAUUUAUGAAUGGAUAAUAAUAAAAAUUAUUUAGUGCCUGCCAAUUUAGAUUUACCUUAGAUGCACUCAAAAUUGGAGUAUUUUUGAAUUGUAAUCCAAAAAUCUUGAGAAACUUACUUUAAAUCAUACCAAUUGAGAAACAGACUUUAAACCAUUUGGACAACCACAAGAUUUUGUUAAGAUUUUUAGAUUGAAAGAAAAAAAUAGUGCAUGUCAAGGCAAAAAUUACUGUAAAAAAAAUCAAGUUAGAUUUAAAUUUAAAAGUUACCGUAAAAAAAAUCAAGUUAAAUUUGAAUUUUUUCGAAUGAAAGAGUUGCCUUCUCUCACACCAUGCAAACCCCACAGUGACCCAACAACCCAUCGCUCUCUUUCUCUCUAAAAACCUUGCAAAUCCAAACAAAUCAACUCUCUCACUAGCACCCUGCUACCUACCCAAUUUCUCGCUCUCCCUCUCUCUCUAAAAACCCCGAACAUCCAACUUUCUCUCAAGCACCUUGCUACCCAUCCCUCUCUCUCUCUCUCCAAACCCAACCCAGCACCCAACUUUCUCUUAGCACCCUGCUCUGCUCUCCCUCUGUUGAUGCUGCAAAGAAGCUGCUGCUAAUGGUUUUUAAUGUUAUGAUCAACAAAAGGGAAUUUAAAUGUAGAGGAGGGCUUUUUGGGAGAGGAAUUUUUGCUACCCAUCUCUCUCUUUCUCUGUCCAAAAAAUCCCGUAAAUCUCUAGCACGCUGCUCUCCCUCUAUUGAUGCAACAAAGAAGCUUCUCUGGUGUUGCUAAUGGUUUUCAGUACUAGUAUCAACAUAAGGGGAUUUAAAGCUGGAGGCAAAAGAGAGAAAGGAGAUAAGAAGAUUUGCAGUGAGAGAAUCGCAUCGCAGAGAGACUUCAACACCCAAACGACUUUACAAGAAUAGAUAGAAGGCUUUGUAUUUUUUAUUUUUUUUAUUGGCUAUUUGAAAAUCUUGCAAUUUUUUUGCAUAAUAAAAGCUGAAGUAAUUAUUGUCAACAGAGUAUGUGAUAAUCUCAUAUUAAUUAAACUUGUAUAAGGGAAGGAGAUAAUUAAUAUACAUAGUACUUAAAUAAUUAAGAGACAAUCCUGAGAAGACAUGGAUGGACUAGUCCAACAAAUACCAAAUGGAGAUAGGACUUUUUUUAGCAAGGGACUUAAAUAAUCAUGCGGAAAAAAAUAGCAGACAUGUCAAGGUGCAUGAGAAAUAUGGUUUUGGAGAAGGAAAUGAGAUGGUGAGGCCAUUUUGGAUUUUGCAAUGGCUUGCUACUUAGCACUAGUACACACCUACUUUAAAAGCGAAAUGAACAUUUAAUAACAUAUAAAAGUAGAUUAUAUAAAGGGUGCAGUUGGCAUACAGAUGCUUUCGNNNNNNNNNNNNNNNNNNNNNNNNNNNNNNNNNNNNNNNNNNNNNNNNNNNNNNNNNNNNNNNNNNNNNNNNNNNNNNAUAUCUAAUUAUAAAAUUUUUAAAUUUCAAAAAUGGUUAAAAUCAAGUAGAUCUAUAAACAUAUAAAAAUCUUGAAAAUGGACGGUGUAGAUAAUAUGUUGUAAAAUGUACUAUUUCUAAGACUUAAUUUUUUUUUUUUUCAUGGUCAUACAUCUCGAUGUCGAGAUGAUCAAUCAAAGGGUUUUUCAACAUUAAAACUACCUUUUUCAAUGGAUUUUUGAGGUGCAUCCGUAGUUCUACAUUAUAAAGUUGUAUCCUUAUAUAAACGUUUUCCUUAUAUAAAAGCUAGAUAGACUUCUUGAUAGUUAAGGUGGAUCGAUAAAGACUGUAAGGUUGUCCCAUGAGGGAGUUUGACAAUACAACAUAGGCUGAUGGUUAUGGAUGUUUGGGUAAGAGGAUGGAAUAGGAAUGAAAUUAAUGUGUCCAAGAACUACGUGUUGGGAUUUAAAAAAAAUACAGAAGUAAAUUGAUAAAAGACAAAAAUUUGAAUUCUAAGCACGAAGUUAAUAUUAUGUGGUAUGAGAUAGUUCGUUGUAUUAAAAAAAGUGGCAAAAUAAAUUUUAAUAGAGAUUAAAGGGAAAAUAAAUUUCAAUUAGAAAACUUGGUGGUAAAGUGAUGACGUUCACAAGGCUAUCAGUAAAAAAACAAUUAUGUUAUAAAGCUUGACAUUGUAAUAGUAAAUAAGACUAAACUUAAGGUCAAUAAACAACAUACCGUAUAAUGAGGGUAGCUGAUGAUGAUGAUGAUGAUGUUGAGAUGGAUGAGUGACAAGACAAGAAAAGUUAGAAUUUGAAAUAAAUAAAUUAGAUAAAAUUUAGAUAUGGCUUCAAUAGGCGAUAAGAUGAGAAAAUAUAGAUUUAGUUGUGCUUACCAUGUGCAACGUAGGCCUAAUAUAACACCAAUUAGGAUGUGCUAUUUGGUUCAAGUGAAAAGCUCUAAAAGGGUAAAGGGAAUGUUCAAAAGGCCAUGGUUAGAAGUAAUGAGAAAAGAUAUGGUGAAUUAUAGUCUUAUUGAGGGUAGAGCAGAAUGAUGGAACGUGAUUUGUGUAACCAACUCAAAAUAGUAGGGAUAUGGCUUGAAUGAUGAUGAGGAAGAAUUGGAAGUAUGUGAAUCCUAUACGAAAGAGAACUUAAAGAAAGAUUUUAGAUCUACACUACAAGUAUCUGUUUGGCUAAAUUUUUUAUAAUUGAACAAUGAGAAAAAAUUAUGCAUUUGCAAUCGAGCAUACCUUUUGGGAUUUAGAAUUGGCUCCCGUCUGUGGUGAAUCCUUUUCAUUGAGCUUACCUUCUUGAAAUAAAUGCAGUCCAUGUACAAGACUGUUCAUGGCAAAAAGAAAAAGAUGUAUAACAAGUCAAAGAAAAAUGAAGUCCAAUAAUUACUAGGCAAAUGCCACGCAAUAAAUUGAUGACAACUACGGAUGAUUGCCACUUGAAAUGCCCCUUGAAGUGAACACUGGUCCACGCCAAUUUCAAAUAACAAUUUUUUUAAAAAAAACUUCACAUGAAAUUGGCAAUGAUAAUUGUGAUCAUCAUCAUCAAGACAUGCAUAAUGACAACAACAUCAUUAUCGACACCAAUAUCAUAAAUAAUAAUAUCAUAAAUAAUGAUAAAUUAAAAUAGGAAAAGUAUAUAAGGAGACUAUUUAUCUUCGGUAUAAUGUGGUCACAAUUAAUCUUGAUCUUUGGAUGUAAAAUUGGAUAGCUAUAUUAAUUCCGUUGACCAAGCUCUAACUUCAAAAGAAAUUUUCUUGAACUUUUUAAUACACCCAAGCCAUCAGAUUUCACAUCGAAUGAUAGUAAGUAAUUGUAACCUCCUUGUAUCAAAGAUAAAAAUUCUCCCAUUAAAUAAAUUAUAAGAAUGUUAACAUGAGUUGUAGUUGUACCUUUCGGAUGAAAUAACUAGCAUUCCAUUCCUGUACUUAGGAACUGUAUUGUUCAGCAGGUAAUGAGAGCACAGACCACAAUUUCCUCUAUGUUACUUCUAAGUAUCUCAGUGUUUUGGUUGACACAUAUUGAAUCGAGAUCAUCACAGUCAAUAUCAUUGGCAUUAAGAAAUUUAGCUAUGUGAUUUCUAUGAUCUUGAGCUUUUAUCACCGUCAUCUCGUGGACUACAGAAAGCAUCCAUUUCACCCGCUUGCUCAU
rnacentral:lncRNA from 1 species